ensembl:snoRNA
CUUCUUGUGUAGUUCAUUUAAGCAUGAUGAUUGGGUUUUCACAUUCAGGUGUGAGAGGUACCUACUUUAAACCUUGUUACAUCAUCUAUCUGAUA